UAGGGAAAGGUUGGAAGGAAAGGAAUUGGAAAGGGAUUGAAGAGAGUAGAAGGGUAGAAGUGGUAGAUCGGAGAAAGUUCGAGAGAGUUCUAAGGCAAGCAAAAUAAGAAAGUUGGUACUUUUAGUUUUUUUCUAGGGUUUGGAAGGAGGAGAACGACGAAGCUAAUAAAAUUUCCCUUUUUUAAACUUCUCUCAGGUUUGCGGGUCCGUAGCUUCGUUUGCUGGAUCUCGGAGUUUUUAUUUACAUUAUUUGU